rnacentral:rRNA from 1 species
CCCUUAGAUGUUCUGGGCCGCACGCGCGCUACACUGAUGCAUUCAACGAGUCCAACCUUGACCGAGAGGUCCGGGUAAUCUUUGAAACUGCAUCGUGAUGGAGCUAGAUUAUUGCAAUUAUUAAUCUUCAACGAGGAAUUCCUAGUAGACGUAGUUCAUCAGACUGCAUCGAUUACGUCCCUGCCCUUUGUACACACCGCCCGUCGCUCCUACCGAUUGAAUGCUCAGGUGAGCCAUUCGGACUUUCAUCAUGCUGGUUUCCAGUUUUGAUGAAGGAAAGUCUUGCGAACCUUAUCAUUUAGAGGAAGGAGAAGUCGUAACA